rnacentral:tRNA from 1 species
GGGGUUGUAGCUCAGCUGUAGAGUACUCACCUAGCAGGUGUGAGGCCCUGGGUUCGAUCCUCAGCACCA